rnacentral:rRNA from 1 species
CAGGGAGCAGAUGGGUACCUAAACGGCGUGCCCUGCAGUGAGGGAUAACUAGUCGAAAGACUAGCUAAUACCGCAUACGACCUGAGGGUGAAAGUGGGGGACCGCAAGGCCUCAUGCUAUAGGAGCGGCCGAUGUCUGAUUAGCUAGUUGGUGGGGUAAAGGCCCACCAAGGCGACGAUCAGUAGCUGGUCUGAGAGGACGAUCAGCCACACUGGGACUGAGACACGGCCCAGACUCCUACGGGAGGCAGCAGUGGG